GAAAUGCGAUAAGUAAUGUGAAUUGCAGAAUUCCGUGAAUCAUCGAAUCUUUGAACGCACAUUGCGCCCUCUGGUAUUCCCGGGGGCAUGCCUGUCCGAGCGUCAUUACGCACCCUCAAGCCCGGCUUGUGUGAUGGGCCCCGGCGUCUCGUUCGCGAGACGGGCCCGAAAGGCAGCGGCGGCGUCGACCCGAUGAGCCCGAGCGUAUGGGGACUUCUGUCACACGUUCGCGGUGCGGACCGGCGCCUGCUUGACUUUUCUGAUUAUCCAGGUUGACCUCGGAUCAGGUAGGGAUACCCGCUGAACUUAAGC
rnacentral:misc_RNA from 1 species